AAAAUCCGCGUGGCUUAGAUGAGGCGUGAUGACGAGGAUCCUCGGAUCCGAAGUGAGUGAUACCCAGCUUCCAGGAAAAGCCUCUAAGCUUCAGUCAUAGAGUGACCGUACCGCAAACCGACACAGGUGGGCUGGUAGAGAAUACCAAGGCGCUUGAGAGAACUCAGGAGAAGGAACUCGGCAAAUUGAUACCGUAACUUCGGGAGAAGGUAUGCCCCUGGUACGUGAAGGCCCUCGCGGCCGGAGCGGAACGGGGUCGCAGAGAAUCGGUGGCUGCGACUGUUUAUUAAAAACACAGCACUCUGCAAACACGAAAGUGGACGUAUAGGGUGUGACGCCUGCCCGGUGCCGGAAGGUUAAGUGAUGGGGUGCAAGCUCUUGAUCGAAGCCCCGGUAAACGGCGGCCGUAACGAUAGCGGUCCUAAGGUAGCGAAAUUCCUUGUCGGGUAAGUUCCGACCUGCACGAAUGGCGUAACGAUGGCCACACUGUCUCCUCCUGAGACUCAGCGAAGUUGAAAUGUUUGUGAAGAUGCAAUCUCCCCGCGGCUAGACGGAAAGACCCCAUGAACCUUUACUGUAGCUUUGCAUUGGACUUUGACGGGACUUGUGUAGGAUAGGUGGGAGGCUAUGAAACCGGGACGCCAGUUCCGGUGGAGCCAUCCUUGAAAUACCACCCUGGUGUCGUCGAGGUUCUAACCCAGGCCUGUGAAUCCAGGUCGGGGACCGUGCAUGGUGGGCAGUUUGACUGGGGCGGUCUCCUCCCAAAAGGUAACGGAGGAGUACGAAGGUCACCUAGGUACGGUCGGACAUCGUACUGAUAGUGCAAUGGCAAAAGGUGGCUUGACUGCGAGACCCACAAGUCGAGCAGGUGCGAAAGCAGGUCAUAGUGAUCCGGUGGUUCUGUAUGGAAGGGCCAUCGCUCAACGGAUAAAAGGUACUCUGGGGAUAACAGGCUGAUUCCGCCCAAGAGUUCACAUCGACGGCGGAGUUUGGCACCUCGAUGUCGGCUCAUCACAUCCUGGGGCUGUAGCCGGUCCCAAGGGUAUGGCUGUUCGCCAUUUAAAGUGGUACGUGAGCUGGGUUUAAAACGUCGUGAGACAGUUUGGUCCCUAUCUGCCGUGGGCGCUGGAAGUUUGAGAGGGCCUGCUCCUAGUACGAGAGGACCGGAGUGGACGCACCCCUGGUGUACCGGUUGUGACGCCAGUCGCAUCGCCGGGUAGCUAUGUGCGGAAGAGAUAACCGCUGAAAGCAUCUAAGCGGGAAACUCGCCUCAAGAUGAGACUUCCCCGGGGCCUCGAGCCCCCUGAAGGGUCGCUGAAGACCACAACGUUGAUAGGCCGGGUGUGUAAGCGUGGCAACACGUUCA
rnacentral:rRNA from 1 species